UUUAACUGAAUAUAAUGGAGAAGGCUUGCUCCUUAGAAAUAACAUUUCUUAUUGCUGCAGUUAGAAAAACAAUGUCCCUUUAUUAUAUAUUUUUUUCUUGACCCUACAGGAUGCCCAAUGGUAACCAGCCUACCAUGUGGCUCAACAGAUGCCAGUGUACCCGAAUACUGAGACAUAAUUGGAUGUUCUUUUCUUCUGCUUUUAAGAUUCCCAGUUUGGGAUAAUGUGCAGUUCAUGUUAGAUUUGCUAUUUCUACAGUUACAGUGAAGUAGAAGAGUCCAGUCGUGUUAUGGGGCAGCAGUUAAAGAAGAAGGAUGGAGAGAUGUGUGCCAUGUUGAAGUAGCGGCUGGUCCUCCUGCCCGCUCUUCUAGAAUCCUCCAUCUAAACCUCUGCUGUGAUCUGCUGUGCCUUUGCCAAGUGAUCACGAGUUUAUUGCAAUGGUGCCCCCCACCCCGCAUCUCCACCAUCUGUUACAUCAAGUUCAACUACCUGUGAUGCUGGAGAGAACAAAAGUUCACAAGAUGUCCUAAAAUGGAAUUGUGAUUGGACUGAGACAGCCACAAUUAUGUGUGCUGGGAUGUGCAGAGAGGGCUGUGUGGGCUUUGGCUUGAGACCCCCAGAGGUUUAUUAUCUCCAGUAUCCUUGAAGGCUGCAAGUUUGUCUUUGUCCACAGCCAUUUGACCAGGCAGUGUAUUUAUUACUACCGACAAGGACCCCUCCAUUUGCUUCUUAUUUACUUUUAUAAUGCCUUCAAUUUUCUUUGUAACUGUAUGUUUUUGAAGAGCAAGUUGAGCUACACUUGUAAGCAAAGGUGAUAUAGAAAUAUUAUUAGUGAACAAAUGUUAAUGGACAGGUCAGGAAAAAUGUCAGUUUAAACAGAACACAUUUUUAAUGGAAUAUUGCUGGAU